rnacentral:rRNA from 1 species
UACGGAGGGGGCUAGCGUUGUUCGGAUUUACUGGGCGUAAAGCGCACGUAGGCGGCUUUGUAAGUUAGAGGUGAAAGCCCGGGGCUCAACUCCGGAAUUGCCUUUAAGACUGCAUCGCUAGAAUUGUGGAGAGGUAAGUGGAAUUCCGAGUGUAGAGGUGAAAUUCGUAGAUAUUCGGAAGAACACCAGUGGCGAAGGCGACUUACUGGACACAUAUUGACGCUGAGGUGCGAAAGCGUGGGGAGCAAGCAGG